rnacentral:rRNA from 1 species
UACGGAGGGUGCAAGCGUUAAUCGGAAUUACUGGGCGUAAAGCGUGCGCAGGCGGUUUGUUAAGUCCGUUGUGAAAGCCCCGAGCUCAACUUGGGAAUUGCAGUGGAUACUGGCAGGCUGGAGUACGGUAGAGGAAGGUGGAAUUCCCGGUGUAGCAGUGAAAUGCGUAGAUAUCGGGAGGAACACCAGUGGCGAAGGCGGCCUUCUGGACCAGUACUGACGCUCAUGCACGAAAGCGUGGGGAGCAAACAGGG